GGUGAUGACAGGUGCAAUAUCUGUGACUUGAGUUACAACUUGCAGGGAGUCUCACCAGUGCUGUUUCCAGCUAAUGUCAUCUGGCUGGAUUGCACUCUGGAUUUUAGUGGAUUUCCUAGUUGUGAUUUUCAGAUGUAAGUGGACAUAAUAAUGUCUACUUUAAAAGACAGGAAGGGAUACUGCUGUUGGGAAGAGAUGGAAUUUUCCAGGUCUCCAAGGCUUCCUGGGAGAUCUGGAGCAGGGUCUUCAACCUUGGCACUACUGCCAUCUGGGGCUGGAUCACCCUCCCCUCCUAGGGGCUGCUGUGCUGUGCACUGUAGGAUGGUUAGCAGCCUCCCUGGACUCCACCCACUAGGUGGCAGUAGCAACCCUCCCAUCUUCAAUAGCUGGGCCAACAAAAAAUGUUCCCAGACAAUAUUAAAUAUCUUCUGGGGGACAGAUCUGUCCCCUGUUGAGAGUGAUGCUUCAGAGAUUCACAGGUGAAUCCAGGUAUCUGCAGGGAAUGCGGGAAGCAAGUCAUGUUCUGAAAGUCAUGGGUGGAUGUUUCAGGGAGCCAAAGGGAGGAUCCUCUGUGCUAAAGUCUCCUGAUGUCUAUUCUCUACUUCUCACAUUGCCUCAAUAACUUUAUAAGCCCUGGACACUUCAUGCCUCAUGGGCUUUUGGAGGCUUCUGCAUGGUUUAGAAGGGCAGACGACAGAUGUGACUUGGUGUAACUGACAAAAUACAAACUGCUUAUCAAAUUCCCCUCCCGCUCGUCUGCAGAGUGCAAUGGUGGGAACACAUGCAGAAAAAAAUAAAUGUCUAAACAUGCACCAGCAAAGACGGUAUGCUGACUCUGAGCCUGGGAAUGGAAAUGUGAGACUCAUCAAGUGUGUUGUGAUAACUCCCCAGGGGCAAGAAAAUUGCAUCCUUCUCAUGGGGACUGGAGGAGUCUAGAGUUGUCCACUCCUGAACCAUAUCCACUGCCUCCCCUGCAUUAUAUCUACAUUCCUAUAACUAUCUAUAAGGCCCCGAGAUCUAGAAUCCUAUCCAUUUUCCACACACCCAACCAUGUCCCUCCUUGCAUGCAUGGUAUGUCUUCCAUAAAUAACUGGGUUCCUCACCCGUUAUGUACAAGUAACCAUUUGUAUCUUUUAGUAGCCAUUUCAUUUGAGUAGGAAAUCUGCAAGGCUCAAGCAGUCCCAUUGUCUCAGAGCACAGUCUGUUUCCCUCACAUAGUUGCAGACUACUAUUAAGGUAUCACAGAUCAUUUCCAGUGCCAGGCUCCCAGCAGGGCACAAGUGUUCAGUGAGGGUCCAGAAAGUUAGGGUCAGUUCCACUUCUUAAAUAUAGUAUUAACAGGUUGCUUUUAAAAAUGAUAUAGACUCUAGGAUUCUGUAUGUAUUUUUUAGACUAUAGAAUUUCAAUUGGAUGCUCUUUCUUCUUCCUUCAUUCCUUACCAAACCAUGAUGUCUUUCCUUACUCUUUGAAGCCAUGCUCCAUCUCUUCCCAGGUCUCCUGCUCCAUAAACUGGGGACUAGGAGAUCAUGAACACAUUCAUGCAAAAAAACAUACUCAGAAGUACCCACCAUGUCAGGAAGACACCAGGACAUGCCAAGUUCAGCCAGACAUUUCCCACAGUUAAUUCUGCUACUUACAAAAUCUCCCCAAUGCUUUCCUUUGUGAUUCAUGCCUUAGUCCCACAAACUGGGACACUCCAUGUAAUACCAGAGAAGGAAAAAUUUGUAGAACAUAAUUUAUUCCUGAUUUACCUGGCUAUGCUUAUGUUUAUUACAAUCUAAUUUAAAACUAAUAUGAAACUAAAUGUAUUUUAGAAUCAGAGCUCUGCUCCAUUAUAAUGCUCACACAUAUCUCCACCAAAAGACUGAAUAUACAAAUAGACAAUAGCCAGACUUUGCAGAAAAAUAGAACUUUGACUCACAACCUGCAGCCACCAAACCAAGCAACAACCUAGGAACCAGCCUGCUGAAGGCCACUCUUGCAUAGAUGGAAUGCUAUUUCUAGUGACAACUCAACUCAGAACUCUUAAUAAUUGGCUCAAAAUGGCCAAGACUCAAUGAAUAACUCACAGCUUCCUUAUUUUUUUCCCUUAUUCCUAUGUAGGACUGACCAGGGAAAGGCAGAUACAUCCUCCUAUUCACACACCUGCAUGAGGUGUGUCUGCCUCCAGCUCCUUUCCAUCAUCAGGCGCCAACAGGUUACACCUGAAAAUUCCUUUUUUUGCCCUAUAAUAUUUACUACUCUUCUGCCUUAGAGUCUGGCAGAACCCAAAUGAUAGGUGUUUACUCCCUUGCUACAAUAAGACCAGAAUAGCUCACCUUUGCUGGUCUCCUUUGGCUGGUGUUUAUUUCCACAGCACUCACCCUAUAAGCAGGAGGAUAUGUACAUUCUUAAGUCAACUGCUCUGCUCAACUGGUGGCUUUCCUUCUCAAGCAACUCAAAGAGGGUCUUAAUUUUCAAAAUAUUGCCAUCUUCAGAAUGGGGCACAUCUGUCCAUGGCCAGUCUGCCAAUGGCCACCCAUGGAAAAUAGAACAUGCAGAGAAAUACCAGGGCUAUUUGAAAUUGCUGAGAAUUUGGGAUGGCAGACAGGCUACUAGCUAUAGAGAAUUUGGCCACGGCAAGAAGCAUGUGAAAAAUGGAGACAGGACAUUGCUCCCUGGCUAAUUUUCCUAAUCUUGUUAGGAUUUUGUAAUGAACUAACAAGAACCUUAGUUUUCAUUGACAAGAACAUCACACUGUAAGCCAUCGUUCAAUCUCUUGAAAUUUUCUUGAUCAUAUCUACACUUUUUAAAGGAGAACAGAAAAAUACAGACCUUAGGUACUAAUCGAAAAGUUUGCAUUGUUAGAUAGUAAGUAGUCAUGAGCAGUGGAAUGGCAGGCUCAAAGUCUUACUGGAAGUUAAAGUUUUCUUUGAGUUACUGCCAAGGCAGAUGACCAAAUAACUUGUAGAAGAAAAACACCAGUGCACAGACCUUGAUAAUAAAGAAACAAAAGUAAAAGGCGCUAAAUGGGGGAAUACAUCACGAAGGAAGGACUAAUGGGACUAAUUCUUGACUAACCAAUAAAGGUCAAGAUAUAACUAGGAAUUAUGGCUUCCAGUUUCCUUGCUGGUCUCCUUUGAUCUCAGAAGAAGGCUUUUUCAGUGGUGCAGGUACAGGAAGGUAACCUGCUACCAGGCACUGACUUCAGUGCCCACAUUUACAUAGGACUUACUUGUAGAUGAACCUCCCUGAGUAUGAUGGCCACCAUGACAGUUCCAAAGAGGGCCAACUAGGUUUGAAAACUCACCACCCAGAGAGAAGGAGGACGCUGAACACCUAAUUGAUGAGACUGCAGACAAUGGGCCCCAGUUCUCAAGGCAAGCAUCAAACAGAAAUAAAUUUGGAGACAGCACUGUUUCCUUUGUCCUUCCCUCCACAGAGAUGGCCCUGCUAUCCCUUGAGAGUGCUCUCUGCUCAUCCUUACUCUGCAUUCACCCCUUUCUCACUCCGUUUCCAUUUUAUUUUGACUUAAAAUAAAAUUCUCUUGCAUGACUUCUGGUGUCUGACUUUAAAUUUUCUUUUUUCAGAACAUGAGACCUGAGGUUGGGAGUUUCAGCACCCCACUCUCCUGUGACAGUAUAAUAUAUGGCAAUGUUCUAAUAAUUGGGAAAUCAAAAUUGCAAAGGAUUUUUUCUAAAUAAGUGUGGGGUCAUUUUCCCCUACUUUUUCAGCAUUAGAUUUUUUUUUUUGGUAGUGAGAGAAUCUAUGAUGCUUGUUCUUUAUGAACUUAAAUCAUGAAUAUCCACUGCUUAUCCACUCAAUACAACACUUACAUAUUGCCAUACUAACAUUUUGUUGGCUUUGGAUUUAUUCAAAAGUUAAGUAUGAGUGAUAUGAUCAGACCUGUGUCCAAAUCAACUGGGCUUAAGCAUAAAAUAGUGUGAUUCAGAAAUCCUUAAUUGUUGUUGUUUCCUGGUGACCUAGAGCUGUUCAUUAAGUAAGCAUUGUGUUUGCCUCGGUGGCCAUCCACAGGCACUUACAGUGUGUACCACAAUCCCAGCAUCUGUGAACACCUAGUGUGCUUCCAAAUGGGACAGAGCUCAGGCUCCAGCUGAAUGACCCCCUGUCAUAGAGAUCUCCUCUCCUCUCACAUCAUGUUGGGAGAGAAUAAUUAAGUGGGAGUCCAGAGGUGAAGACACUGGGACACUGGGGUACAAAUGAUUGUUAAAGUUCAGUGAAAAUUAAUUUCAGAUGAUUGAUAGCUUUGUGUUACUGUGAUUUUAUUUCCUUCCCAGCUUCCUGUCCUUCAUGACACAGAGAAUUUUUGAGUGAAGAACCCUAUAGCUCCACAUACAUGCUGCCCUAUAUGCACAGCUUGGACAAUGAAUUUACAUGCACAUCUGCUUCAUGAAUAUCACUUAAUUAUCAUGAUUAGCAUCAUUAUCUCUUUCAUGAGGUUGUUGACCAGGCAGAGAACUUGAUAAUUCAAUACGGAAACUUGUGAAAAGACCCACCAACCUUUCAAUGGAAACUAUCAACAUACGUGCAUACACCUGGAGACUCUGGACACCUGCUUCCACCAAUCCUCAACUGGGCAAGCACCAUGAUGAAAGCCCUGCUUUGUAAACCAGGCUUCAGACUCCCCAUGAGACCUCCCCCAACCAUAACGAGAUGUGUAGGAUAACACAGUUGAAGGUGCUUGAGAUCUCAGGUCCUGUCACUGCAGAGUGCUCUCCACUGCCCGCCCACACUUGGCUUCAGAGACCCACCGUGCAUCCCUGGGCUACUUGGAAGAACAGAGAUGUGAUGCCCAAAUACAAAAUCUGGGCAGGAGGAAGCCGGGUCAGAUCCCUCCCUGCUCUGAAAGGGCACAUGUUCUGUGAGACAAAACCCAGGUACUGCACAUGGCUGUGACUUAGUCACAAGGAAAAGAAAAUGGCUCUGAUGAUGGACGAUCCAUCACUUUUCCCAGAAGAAGGAUCCAUGUGCUGCUGAGAAGAAAGUGUAUCCACUUGAUACAGGUUGAAAUAUUCUACAUAUGUCAGUUAAGUCUAAGUUAUUGAUUGUAUUAUGCACUGCAAUUGUGGCUAUUACUGACUCUUGUCUGCCAAAUGUCUCUCCCACUCUAACACCUCCAAAUCCUCCACUGUGUCCUAUUCCUGCCUGGAUGCCAUACUGGGGGUGAUGGGGUGGUCUUUGAUGCCAGCUUGGAAACUGAGAAGCUCUGCACUGCCUUAAACCAAAGUGGGAAGAAGACUAAGCCCGACUCACUCUGUCUCUUCCAAUUUGUGCUUAAUUACUAUGGAGGAAAUCAUGCUUAAUAAGUGACACAUGAGGUCACUUAUCUGUUUAAGAUGGGCUUUGCUGAAAAUUUUACUUAAUUACUGAAUAUUCAGUAUCCAUUAUUACUCAGAGAUUGUUACUAUCCAAUCCAUAGUAACACUGUUACAUGCUUGAAGUUUGAAAUGUGGAUCCCAGAGAAGCUCCUAAUCUGUGAUUCAAAUGUUUUUAACUAAUUCUAGUCCCUUACCUAAUGGAAAGUAGCUGAGUAAUUUCUCAAUUUUCCCUCUGAAGAGUCUUUAGAAAUGAUACUUCUUCAUUCCACAAACAUCCUUGCCAAUCCCCAUCAGCAAAUUUCUCUUUCAUCUUCUACUUCUUCUCCUCUAGCCUAGGCCAAUAGCAGGAAUCAAUAGGAAGGAACCUGAUUUCAGCAUUAUUUUUUUUUUGGGGGGGGGGUAAGUGAGCUGUCCCAGAAGGUGACACAUAAUGAUGGGUAAUAUCAGGCUCACUGCACAGUGGGAUCACUUCUUGGGUGUCCUCAUUGUUUGUUAUUUCUUAGUUCAGUAGAAAAAAGCAAGGCCAAAUAUUUGACCUUCAAGGACACCAAUUAUCUUGUCUCCUAUAUUACAUCUGAGGCAACCUCUUCACCAAAGCCCAGAGGUAUCUGCAUGCCACACCUGUGUUAGGAGAUGGGAAGGGAACUAGAUACUAGAUGGAGAUGCUUCUAAAACAUCCUGUCUUAAAGACUCAAAAGCAACUCAAAACACAUACUGCCUUGCCUCCAUAAACCAAGAGCACAGUUCAAACUCAUCCAGGCAUAAGGCACAAGGUAGAAGCAAAAAGGAGAGAGGGA